CGGUACGGAGCAAGACCGCUGGGGGAAGAAGGGCUCUUGGGGUUGUAAAACCCCUUUUCUCUUGGGAAGAAAGUUGUGAAAGCAACCUGACGGUACCAGAGGAAUCAGCAUCGGCUAACUCCGUGCCAGCAGCCGCGGUAACACGUAGGGGGCGAGCGUUGUCCGGAUUUAUUGGGCGUUAAAGAGCUCGUAGGCGGUUCGCUAAGUCGGGUGUGAAACCUCCAGGCUCAACCUGGAGACGCCACCUGAUACUGGUGUGACUAGAGUCCGGUAGGGGAGUGUGGAACUCCUGGUGUAGCGGUGAAAUGCGCAGAUAUCAGGAAGAACACCAGCGGCGAAGGCGGCACUCUGGGCCGGUACUGACGCUGAGGAGCGAAAGCGUGGGUAGCAAACAGGAUUAGAUACCCUGGUAGUCCACGCCGUAAACGUUGGGCACUAGGUGUGGGUCUCAACCAACGAGAUCCGUGCCGCAGCUAACGCAUUAAGUGCCCCGCCUGGGGAGUACGGCCGCAAGGCUAAAACUCAAAGGAAUUGACGGGGGGCCCGCACAAGCGGCAGUCGACGCGGCCG
rnacentral:rRNA from 1 species